rnacentral:rRNA from 1 species
CCGACACGGGGAGGUAGUGACAAGAAAUAUGAUGACUGUGCCCUUUGUGGCAGAGUUUUUCAAAUGAGUGUAAUGUAAUUGCCUAUGCGAGUAUCCAUUGGAGGGCAAGUCUGGUGCCAGCAGCCGCGGUAAUUCCAGCUCCAAUAGCGUAUAUUAAAGUUGUUGCAGUUAAAAAGCUCGUAGUUGGAUGUCUAGCUUUGCGCGGACGGCCCGCCUUCGGGUUGAGUGCUGGAAGCGCUAGCUUGUUUUCCGGUUUGUGUCCCUUCCCUUGACUGUGGCGGGGUUCACGAUCCGGAUCUGUUACUUUGAAGAAAUUCGGGUGUUCAAAGCAGGCUUAUGCCG